GAUGAACGCUGGCGGCGUGCUUAAUACAUGCAAGUCGAACGAACAGGCCAUGAGCUUGUUGGUCUGACGUUAGCGGAGGAGGUGUGAAACACGCGUGUAUAACCUACCUAUAAUACUGGUAAAACUAGGGGAAACCGGAGCAAACACCGGAUAAUAUAUUGAAGCAUAUGGUUCAAUAGUGAAAUACGGCUGUUCUGUCACUUAUAGAUGGAUCUCCGCCGCAUGAGAUAGUUGGUACUGUAACGGGUUAUCAAGGCAACGAUGCGUAGACGACCUGAGAGGGUGAUCGGCCACACUGGAAGUGAGACAGGCUCCAGACUCCUACGGGAGGCCGCAGUCGGGAAUCUUCCGCAGUAGUGGAGAGCAUGACGCAACAACGCCGCGUGAGUUGUGAAGGCGUCCGGAUCGUAAUGAUCUGCUAUUAGGGAUGAACCAAUGUCUAAUUAACUAUGCACGUCGUGACGGUACCUAAUAAGAAAGCAACGGCUAACUACGUG
rnacentral:rRNA from 1 species